GAGCCCAGCUUUCUUCCUGGUGGUCCCAAGAGGCUGAGCAUGGACCCAGUGCACCUCAGCAUGUCCAGCGCGCCCCUGGUGAGGCACUCGGACAGGCCCCGCGUCAUGUCCAAGAGCGGGCACAGCAACGUGAGAAUCGACAAGGUGGACGGCAUAUACUUACUCUACCUUCAAGACCUGUGGACGACCGUGAUCGACAUGAAGUGGAGGUACAAACUCACCCUGUUCGCGGCCACGUUCGUCAUGACCUGGUUCCUUUUCGGGGUGAUCUACUACGCCAUCGCGUUCAUUCACGGGGACCUAGAACCCGGCGAGCCCAUUUCUAACCACACCCCCUGCAUCAUGAAGGUGGACUCCCUCACGGGGGCGUUUCUCUUCUCCCUGGAGUCCCAGACCACCAUCGGCUACGGCGUCCGCUCCAUCACGGAGGAGUGCCCUCACGCCAUCUUCCUGCUGGUCGCUCAGCUGGUCAUCACCACCUUGAUUGAGAUCUUCAUCACGGGCACCUUCCUGGCCAAAAUCGCCAGACCCAAGAAGCGGGCGGAGACCAUCAAGUUCAGCCACUGCGCGGUCAUCACCAAGCAGAACGGGAAGCUGUGCCUGGUGAUCCAGGUGGCCAACAUGCGCAAGAGCCUCCUGAUCCAGUGCCAGCUCUCCGGCAAGCUCCUGCAGACCCACGUCACCAAGGAGGGCGAGCGGAUCCUCCUCAACCAGGCCUCCGUCAAAUUCCACGUGGACUCCUCUUCCGAGAGCCCCUUCCUCAUUUUGCCCUUGACCUUCUACCACGUGCUGGAUGAGACCAGCCCCCUGAGAGAUCUCACACCCCAGAACCUGAAGGAGAAGGACUUUGAGCUCGUGGUGCUCCUCAAUGCCACCGUGGAGUCCACCAGCGCCGUCUGCCAGAGCCGCACGUCUUACAUCCCAGAGGAGAUCUACUGGGGCUUUGAGUUCGUGCCCGUGGUUUCUCUCUCCAAGAACGGGAAGUACGUGGCUGACUUCAGUCAGUUCGAGCAGAUCCGGAAGAGUUCCGAUUGCACGUUUUACUGCGCAGAUUCCGAGAAGCAGAAACUGGAGGAGAAGUACAGGCAGGAGGACCAGCGGGAGAGAGAACUGCGGACUCUCCUGUUACAACAGAGCAAUGUCUGAUGGCGGUGCCCUGGCCUCAGUUGACUCUGCGGCCAUUUCCACAUCCGAGCUACUUCGAACAAAAAUGUGUGGAUGCAUUCUAAAAACACUGCACAGAUGUGCUAAAUCCAUCUUCUCCUUUGAUCUGGUGGCUCAACAAGAAUCUCCACCUUCGAGAGGGUUCCUUGUUUAAAUGCUUUGUCUGAAGCAAAUUCCCAAAGUUCAGAUUUUCUAAGAUGGGGCUACAUUUGGCAGGACUUGGUGUAGGGCGAUUGCAAACAUGUCCUGCAGGAUGGACAGACAGUCAGCAUGCUGAGAGUGAAGGGAAGGCAUUUCUCUAUAAGGCUAUCAGCUGUAAUAUAAGGUAUUUAUGCAAUCCGAUAUCAAAAGCAUUGUGGCCUUGAAAUGUGGCUCAGUGUUCACUCACAUCAUGGUUUAAACUCUUUUCGAGCAGAGAAAAUAGUAAUGUUCUGGAGGCUAUCUGUUAAUACAACAAAUGGAGCAGGGGGAGUCUGUCCUCACAAAAUGUAAUAAUUCCAUUUCUGCCUUUUCCCAGUGGAUUUAAUUGUGCAGCGUGAAAUUGGUCCCUCAGGAAUUAACAGUUGUGAAAACAUGUACAAAUGGAACUGAGGCUGUUGUCCGCACUAAUUUUUGCUGGAAUGUACUAGCCCCUUCCUAUUCAACAUGUGGCUCCCAGGCCAGCAGCAUCCGCCCCUUGAGAACUUAUUAGCCACAUAGAGGCCCAGGCCCUGCCCCACUUAGAGAACCAGAGUCUGUAUGGUCCCCACACCCCCAUGGGACUCACGCACACUUGAGUUUGAAAAGCUCCUCUCUGGGCAGUGCAUUCAGAGUAACCUCGGAAGCUGCGGGACAGUGAGGGUCCCCUGUCCACGUGGCCUCCAGAUCUGUCCUUCCUUCGGUUCUUCAUUGUGCACCAAGCUUCCUUUCAGCCACUUCUUUCCUGAUCUAGUAAAACACCUUGUCCACAGGGGAAGGGUCACUGACAGUCCAAGAGCAAAAUCAAACUCUUGCAGGUAAUGGUCACCUCAUUCACGCUAAGUACCUGGUUGUCAAUGAUGGUUAGAACCAGAGGAAAAUUAAGCUGGGCCAUGGUCAGAACUUUGCUCAGAUGUUGAAAUCUAGUAGGUCUGAUGGAGCCAUGAGGAAGGAGAGUGGCUGAGGAUAAAUAAUUCAUACACAGGCCACUCCUUGAAGCAUGAACAACAUUUGAUAAUUUGAUAACAUGUCAAGAAUGUCCUCAGCAUUUAAACAAAGCUUGUGCAACUCAGUGUUACAGAGGUAACAUUUGCCUUUGGCAGAAUUUGGGGACCAGGCACCCUGCAUUUCUUUGGGGUAGAGAAAAUAUGGGCUACGAUUGGCUAAAUGUGCGCAAGGUGAAUUCUCACUUCAUUCGAAACGCGAUGAAUUUGCAUAUUCCCUCAAGAAAAAUGUGACUAUAAGUGUGUAGGUGGACCUACAUGUAAGCCACAUAUGUAUACACACAUUCAUA